GACGAACGCUGGCGGCGUGCUUAACACAUGCAAGUCGAACGGAAAGGCCCUGCUUUUGUGGGGUGCUCGAGUGGCGAACGGGUGAGUAACACGUGAGUAACCUGCCCUUGACUUUGGGAUAACUUCAGGAAACUGGGGCUAAUACCGGAUAGGAGCUCCUGCUGCAUGGUGGGGGUUGGAAAGUUUCGGCGGUUGGGGAUGGACUCGCGGCUUAUCAGCUUGUUGGUGGGGUAGUGGCUUACCAAGGCUUUGACGGGUAGCCGGCCUGAGAGGGUGACCGGCCACAUUGGGACUGAGGUACGGCCCAGUCGCCUACGGGGGGCAGCAGUGGGGAAUAUUACACAAAUGGCGGAAGGCUGUUGCAGCAACGCCGCGUGCGGGAUGACGGCCUUCGGGUUGUAAACCGCUUUCGCCUGUGACGAAGCGUGAGUGACGGUAAUGGGUAAAGAAGCACCGGCUAACUACGUG
rnacentral:rRNA from 1 species